AUUGAACGCUGGCGGCAUGCCUUACACAUGCAAGUCGAACGGCAGCACGGGUACUUGUACCUGGUGGCGAGUGGCGAACGGGUGAGUAAUACAUCGGAACGUACCUUAUCGUGGGGGAUAACGCAGCGAAAGCUGUGCUAAUACCGCAUACGCCCUGAGGGGGAAAGCGGGGGAUCGAAAGACCUCGCGCGAUUAGAGCGGCCGAUGCCUGAUUAGCUUGUUGGUGGGGUAAAAGCCCACCAAGGCGACGAUCAGUAGCUGGUCUGAGAGGACGAUCAGCCACACUGGGACUGAGACACGGCCCAGACUCCUACGGGAGGCAGCAGUGGGGAAUUUUGGACAAUGGGGGAAACCCUGAUCCAGCAAUGCCGCGUGAGUGAAGAAGGCCUUCGGGUUGUAAAGCUCUUUUGUCAGGGAAGAAACAC
rnacentral:rRNA from 1 species